rnacentral:rRNA from 1 species
UACGUAGGGUGCGAGCGUUGUCCGGAAUUAUUGGGCGUAAAGGGCUCGUAGGCGGUUUGUCGCGUCGGGAGUGAAAACACCGGGCUUAACUCGGUGCUUGCUUUCGAUACGGGCAGACUAGAGGUAUUCAGGGGAGAACGGAAUUCCUGGUGUAGCGGUGAAAUGCGCAGAUAUCAGGAGGAACACCGGUGGCGAAAGCGGCCACCUGGACUGCACCUGACGCUGACACGCGAAAGCUAGGGGAGCGAACGGG